rnacentral:lncRNA from 10 species
CAGUCGUGCCAGGACAGCGUGUGCCUAGGAACUGCUCUUGGGGACUCUCACAGGCGCCCUGCACUGCCCCUGCUGUGCGUGUCUCCUGUUGCCUGGGAAGCUAAAGGGACUGUGGUCCAGGCCUGCCAUUGGCUCCCAAGAACCCCGCCUCCUGGUGACACCCCCUCCUCUUGAGUGUGGGUGAGACCUGAAGACUCACUUUUACCAAAUGGAAUAUGGAAAAGAUGUGGCCUCUGAGGUUGUUAUAAAACAACUGUGACUUCAUGGGGCUCUCCGUCCCUCACUCUCUGCAAAUCUCUCACUCUGGGGCAACAGGCUCCCCCCCCGUGAGCUGCCCCGUGGAGAAGCCCAUGAGGCAUGGAACCCAGAACCUAAGACCUGCCAGCGCCCCCUGUGUAAGCCUGGACGCCAUCCUCCCGAGUCGGGCCUGGAGAGGGCCCCAGCCCCAGCCCCAGACCCAGCCGACGCUCUGAAUGACACCCCACGAAAGGCCUUGAGUGAGAGAACGCAGGUCGUUCUUAUUAAAUAUUGACAGAUGCAAAAAGAUAAACAUAGUAAGAUAUCAAGAAUAGAUGCAAUGCACACCCAGGCCCCAGCAGUAUCCUUGCAAGUCCUCCUGAGCCUGUCUCCAUCCUGCCCCCCUGCCAGAGAUGGAGUUUCACUCUUAUGCCCAGGCUGGAGUGAGUGGUGCGAUCUCGGCUCACUGCAACCUUUCCGGCUCACUGCAACCUCUGUCCCCCAGGUUCAAGCGAUUCUCCUGCUUCAGCCUCCCAAGUAGUUGGGAUUACAGGCGCCCGCCACCACGCCUGGCUAAUUUUUGUAUUUUUACUAGAGACAGAGUUUUGCCAUGUUGGCCAGGCUGGUGUCGAACUCCUGACCUGAAGUCAUCCACCCACCUCGGCCUCCCAAAGUGCUAGGAUUACAGGCAUGAGCCACUGUGCCUGGCCGACAAAUUCUUUGAGCACUUUUGAUACGUAAGGAAAGUGCUGUGAGGGAAAGAGCCUGGUCCCUUUAAAUGAUAUGGGAGGGGGGGAAGGGAAGUGCUGGGUAGAGUAGGGCGUGGUCCCUAGCUAGGGCUCUACCCCCAUGGACCUAGGUGAGGACAGGCAAUUCAGGCAUUUCCUGCAUUUCCCAAGACCGCCCUGGCCUGCCACGCCCCUAUAAUGUGCCUUUAAAAGCCCAAGACCGUCGCUAGGCACAGACGGAAGUGACUGGAUGUGGAGAGGAGUGUAUCCGCGAAGGAACGCACAAGUGGCCUGACCUGCAGAAGAACGCUAGCUAGGCACUAGGCAUGCCGGCAAGGUCAGCUGAGAGCUGACCCCAGUGCAACGUGGAGGAGUUUGGUUGGGGCAGUCGGAGGAGCACCUGGGCCGCCAAGCGGCCAGACUUCGGGGGAAAGCCAUCUCUCUUCUGGCGCCUUUAUCGGCAGAGAGCUACUUGUACUCAAAACCUUGCACUCAUUCUCCAAGCCCACGUGGGUAAGAUUCACCCACACUGCGGAGGGCGUCGGAGCUCCACAGCCUGCCUGUCUGUAUGCUCCCAUAGAGGUUUGAGCAGCGGGGCACUGGAGAAGCAAGUCACACCCCCAUUGCACGCCAUGGGAGUAGGACAAGAAUUCUAGUUUUCAGGUCUGUAACGAUGGGCAGAUUUUCCAUGACACGACUAAAGUCCAACGCCAGUGCCACUUCUCCCAUGAUGCUUCCCGUUCUCUCUUGUGCCCACCGAGGCCCUGUGGCUUUUCCUUGAAACUUCCCCGUGGCCCUCAUCGCGUGCCUCAUCUUGUGUCACAGUUAUCUGCGCAGCAGAGAAAAAGGAGCACAGACCUCACAGACAGACAGAUUGGGCUCAACAUGCACCUGGGCCUUGAGGAGAAUCUGCCUGUGCAGGGAGGCUCACAUGCUGACCGCGAGCAGACGGAACAAUCCUCGUUUGUUCAUGGAGAAACAAGACCACGGGUGACUCUGGGUAACUGAGACCUCAGGAAGUGAAACCUCAGAUAAAGGAUUCAACAGAGUUGGAUUGCUGAGAAUAAAAUUACGGAUUUCUCCAUAAUGGACACACGCACUUUUUGUUUGUGCUGUUUCCUUUAGAAUGGACGAUGAGUCAAAAUUGUUCGUUUAUGCUUCUUCACAGAAGGAUCUUCUGUGUCGUAGGAGGUGGCCUGCAGCAAUCUGGACAUUCAGUGGUCCUCCUGUGAUUAAUAGGUGAACGGAUGAGCUAUUCUGAUAAGAACUGGGGAACUUUUGCCAUUCAAAAGCAAAUAGAAGAACUGGGAGAUUCCUCAACUUAGCUUUUCUUUUUUUUGGUUCUAAAGUGACUGCGAAUGGAGGUAGAAGAGAAGAAAAGCUUUCAAAAACAUCUUCCAUUAAGAAAAAUAUGUAUCUUCAUGAAGACCUAUCUGAGUAAAAUUACUAAAACAUAAUGGCUUUCUUGAAAUAGAAUGGAAUGAAAGGCAUAUUAGGGAGUAUGAAAGUAUGAAGAUUUUAUUAACAUACUUCUAGAAGUUUAUUAAAUAUCUGCACAGGAACUGUAAUUUGAGAUCAGUGGUGGAAAGAGAAUAAAGGAAUCACGUGGACAUCAGCUCUGAGGCCUGUGGCCCCACUUGCUUCUGGGCUUUCUAUAGACAUUUGCUGGUGACCUGCCCAGGCAGGCUAGAGUACCCUUCCUCAUUGCACCCUGUGUUCCCAUCCUCUUUUCCUUCCUUCCUUCCUUCCUUCCUUCCUUCCUUCCUUUCUUCCUCCAUCCCUUAUGAAACCCUCGUUGUGCAGUUACUUAUUAGGUGCUGUGUGAGCGUCUGAAGUCUCCCCUCACCCACUUUUCCAUUUGGGCCACUUGGCCAGUGAUUGCAUCAGUACCAGGGUUCUAGGAGCCAUGCAGGGAUCCCCAGUGGGCAGAGCUGGCCGUAGCAUUUGGAAAGGAAGAGAGAGAACUGGAGACAAUGCCUAGGAACAAAAGCAGAGUCCAGACCCAGGCAUCAAGUGCAAAUCCAAAGGCUCUGGAUGAGUCAGUUCCCAGCAAAGGGACACAAGUAGGCACAGAAGGAAGGACAGCAGAAAACACUGGUCCAGAGAGGGCCUGCAGAGCCAGAAGCGAUGACGCAUCCAAGGUUGUGUUUGACUUCUGCACUGCCUCUGCAACCUGUAAGCACAUCUGAGCCAGUUCAGAAAGUAGGAAAACCAAAGUAUAUCAGAAAUGGCCUCUUAUCAUCAAGGAGAUUUUGGUCUAGAUUGCUUAUUGCUCAGGAGAAAUCACCACUUUUUAAAAAGAUAUGCUGAGAUAGGGUUUAGUUGGGAUAGAAAAGGUUAUUAAACUACGGGACACCCUUCCUUUACAGAGUGUAAGCACUACUACCCCUUUUGUUUGUCUGUUUUUCUUAUUUUUCUCACAGAUGCAGUUCCUGCAUUAGUAUUGAUAAAUGUGUGGCUGCUCCACUUGGAGUGUUUUCAAAGCAUAAAUCACAGCAUUGAUGGUGCUGUGGUUUGGCUCUUCCAGCCCUCUUAACAACGGUCUGAUGGACUUGGCGAGAGUCUAGCCACGUGUUCUGGCCUCUGUCACUCUCAUGGCUGAAACGCAUGCACACCCACAGAUGGGGGCCCCGUGGUAGAGAUGUGCCUCUACUUGUCAAAUAGACUGACUCCAAAUUCGGAAAUAUGCCUCAGGAAUCUAGAAAGAUAGAAAAGGAGUCUUCGUCACUGUAGGGUCUCAUUCACAAUAUGGAGGAGAGAUGGAGGGGAGUUUUUGGUAUAAAUUUUGCCUCAUAAAAAUUCUCCACGUUGUUUUGUACUGUAUGAGGGUAGCGAGAAAUUAGUUGAUGGUUAACAAUCAAGCUGGAGAAGAAUAUCCUCAAUUUUUCACAUGGAAAAUGAAAAACUACAACUCCUUCCAAAUAUAUGUAUGUUUCUUUUCUGAAGAUAGACGUGUGUGUGUUUGUGUGUAUCAUAUAACAUUUAUUUUUUGAUUUCUUUGUUAUCAACAGUAAAAAUACAGAAAAUGAUGCCAAAGAGAAUUUCUGAUUUUUCUUUCCUUGUUUUCCAUUAAAGUGUAUUACAAAUAAUGUCUUCAAACACAAUAGCAUGCAUAGUGGCUUAAAUUGGAUUCUUCCUGGGCCACUCUGUUUAGGAUCCAGGUUUUUAACAUUGUUCUUCUAAGUGCAUCCAUGUUUCCUGAGAUCCACAAAGCUUGAUCUCAUCCGUGGAACCACCUGGCCUAGAACCAGCUGCG